rnacentral:tRNA from 1 species
GGGUAUAGCUCAGUGAUAGAGUGUGUGCUUAGCAUGCACAAGGUCCUAGGUUCAAUCCCCAGUAUCUCCA